rnacentral:rRNA from 1 species
UACGAGAGGCCCAAACGUUAUUCGGAAUUACUGGGCUUAAAGAGUUCGUAGGCGGCGCAGAAAGUAGGGUGUGAAAGCCCUCGGCUCAACCGAGGAAUUGCGCUCUAAACUACUGUGCUUGAGGAAGCUAGAGGUGAGCAGAACAGAUGGUGGAGCGGUGAAAUGCGUUGAUAUCAUCUGGAAUACCGGAGGCGAAGGCGGCUCACUGGGGCUUUUCUGACGCUGAGGAACGAAAGCGUGGGGAGCGAACAGG